UGCCAGCCGCCGCGGUAAUACGGAGGGUCCGAGCGUUAUCCGGAAUCAUUGGGUUUAAAGGGUCCGUAGGCGGGCAGCUCAGUCAGUGGUGAAAGUUUGCAGCUCAACUGUAAAAUUGCCAUUGAUACUGGUUGUCUUGAAUUAUUAUGAAGUGGUUAGAAUAUGUAGUGUAGCGGUGAAAUGCAUAGAUAUUACAUAGAAUACCAAUUGCGAAGGCAGAUCACUAAUAAUAUAUUGACGCUGAUGGGUAAAGGCGGGGGGAGCGAUAAUGACUCGGUA
rnacentral:rRNA from 1 species